GACGAACGCUGGCGGCGUGCUUAACACAUGCAAGUCGAACGAAGUGGCGAACGGGUGAGUAACGCGUAAUCAACCUGCCCUUCAGAGGGGGACAACAGUUGGAAACGACUGCUAAUACCGCAUACGGAAGGAGGGGCUUGCGUCGGAUUAGCUAGUUGGAGGGGUAACGGCCCACCAAGGCGAUGAUCAGUAGCCGGUCUGGGGGGAGUAACGGCCACAUUGGGACUGGGGCACGGCCCAGACUCCUACGGGAGGCAGCCGUGGGGAAUCUUCCGCAAAGGACGAAAGGCUGACGGGGCAACGCCGCGUGAGUGAUGACGGCCUUCGGGUUGUAAAGCUCUGUUAAUCGGGACGCGGUACCGAAAUAGAAAGCCACGGCUAACUACGUGCCAGCAGCCGCGGUAAUUC
rnacentral:rRNA from 1 species